rnacentral:rRNA from 1 species
GUGGGGAAUAUUGGACAAUGGGCGAAAGCCUGAUCCAGCCAUGCCGCGUGUGUGAAGAAGGUCUUCGGAUUGUAAAGCACUUUAAGUUGGGAGGAAGGGUAGUAACCUAAUACGUUGCUACUUUGACGUUACCGACAGAAUAAGCACCGGCUAACUUCGUGCCAGCAGCCGCGGUAAUACGAAGGGUGCAAGCGUUAAUCGUAAUUACUGGGCGUAAAGCGCGCGUAGGUGGUUCAGUAAGUUGGAAGUGAAAUCCCCGGGCUCAACCUGGUAACUGCUUUCAAAACUGCUGAGCUAGAGUACGGUAGAGGGUGGUGGAAUUUCCUGUGUAGCGGUGAAAUGCGUAGAUAUAGGAAGGAACACCAGUGGCGAAGGCGACCACCUGGACUGAUACUGACACUGAGGUGCGAAAGCGUGGGGAGCAAACAGGAUUAGAAACCCCAGUAGUCC